AAGUCGUAACAAGGUUUCCGUAGGUGAACCUGCGGAAGGAUCAUUACAUUCAGUAGCCUCGCUACUUGUUUAUACCCUUGUUUUUUGCGUACUAUUGUUUCCUCGGCGGGCUUGCCUGCCGGUUGGACAAAACUAUAACCUUUUUAAAUCUUCAAUCAGCGUCUGAAUUAUACAUAAUAAUUACAACUUUCAACAACGGAUCUCUUGGUUCUG
rnacentral:misc_RNA from 2 species